rnacentral:rRNA from 1 species
UCAUAUGCUUGUCUCAAAGAUUAAGCCAUGCAUGUCUAAGUAUAAGCAAUCUAUACGGUGAAACUGCGAAUGGCUCAUUAAAUCAGUUAUCGUUUAUUUGAUAGUACCUUACUACUUGGAUAACCGUGGUAAUUCUAGAGCUAAUACAUGCUAAAAACCUCGACUUCGGAAGGGGUGUAUUUAUUAGAUAAAAAACCAAUGCCCUUCGGGGCUCCUUGGUGAUUCAUAAUAACUUAACGAAUCGCAUGGCCUUGUGCCGGCGAUGGUUCAUUCAAAUUUCUGCCCUAUCAACUUUCGAUGGUAGGAUAGUGGCCUACCAUGGUUUCAACGGGUAACGGGGAAUUAGGGUUCUAUUCCGGAGAGGGAGCCUGAGAAACGGCUACCACAUCCAAGGAAGGCAGCAGGCGCGCAAAUUACCCAAUCCCGACACGGGGAGGUAGUGACAAUAAAUACUGAUACAGGGCUCUUUUGGGUCUUGUAAUUGGAAUGAGUACAAUUUAAAUCCCUUAACGAGGAACAAUUGGAGGGCAAGUCUGGUGCCAGCAGCCGCGGUAAUUCCAGCUCCAAWAGCGUAUAUUAAAGUUGUUGCAGUUAAAAAGCUCGUAGUUGAACCUUGGGCCUGGCUGGCCGGUCCGCCUCACCGCGUGCACUGGUCCGGCCGGGCCUUUCCUUCUGGGGAGCCGCAUGCCCUUCACUGGGUGUGUCGGGGAACCAGGACUUUUACUUUGAAAAAAUUAGAGUGUUCAAAGCAGGCCUAUGCUCGAAUACAUUAGCAUGGAAUAAUAGAAUAGGACGUGUGGUUCUAUUUUGUUGGUUUCUAGGACCGCCGUAAUGAUUAAUAGGGAUAGUCGGGGGCAUCAGUAUUCAAUUGUCAGAGGUGAAAUUCUUGGAUUUAUUGAAGACUAACUACUGCGAAAGCAUUUGCCAAGGAUGUUUUCAUUAAUCAGUGAACGAAAGUUAGGGGAUCGAAGACGAUCAGAUACCGUCGUAGUCUUAACCAUAAACUAUGCCGACUAGGGAUCGGGCGAUGUUACUUUUUUGACUCGCUCGGCACCUUACGAGAAAUCAAAGUCUUUGGGUUCUGGGGGGAGUAKGGUCGCAAGGCWGAAACUUAAAGAAAUUGACGGAAGGGCACCACCAGGAGUGGAGCCUGCGGCUUAAUUUGACUCAACAC